UGUGGUAUGAGUGCCAAUGAGACAACUCUUCAUCCAAGUCAAAAUUGUAAAAGUGAACCAUUAUAGAUCAAAGUACAGUCUUCACAAUGGAGCUUUGAUUCACACCAAACUGCAAGCUAUAAAGGGGCUCAAAUAUGACUAGAGUUAAACAUUCAAACUGGGAAACCAACGGUCUAAUCUAUAUAAAAAAAAUGAGAAACGAGCAACACUUAUGAACCACAUCAACAAACGACAACUACUGAACAACAGAUUUCUGACUUAGGACAGCUGCAAACAUGCAUAUGGAAUAUCCUCAUACAUAUUAGAAAAUGGUCAUGUAAUAAAACAUAUUUCAAUAAAUCCUGUGAGACUGUAAAGUUGGUCGUACGGGUCAAAAGAAUUGAAAUGUAAACUGGUACAUGAAAGAAUGGUACAAUAUAUGGAAAAGCGUAAAAACAAUAGUAAAGAUGUAAAGGCAGGAGAAGUAAAUCAAGAACAAGUACUCAAACGUACAUAUUUCAAGCCAAAAGAGCUAAGUUCGAUCCGAAAGUAAACCCGAUAUGAAGAUCUAGAACAUUUU
rnacentral:lncRNA from 1 species